rnacentral:rRNA from 1 species
CAGAGGUCCCAAGCGUUGUUCGGAUUCACUGGGCGUAAAGGGUGCGUAGGCGGUCGGGUAAGUCUGAUGUGAAAUCUCAGAGCUCAACUUUGAAACUGCAUUGGAUACUAUUCGGCUUGAGGUCUGGAGGGGGGACUGGAAUUCUCGGUGUAGCAGUGAAAUGCGUAGAUAUCGAGAGGAACACCAGUGGCGAAGGCGAGUCCCUGGACAGGUCCUGACGCUGAGGCACGAAAGCUAGGGGAGCAAACAGGAUUAGAUACCCUGGUAGUCCUAGCCGUAAACGGUGCGUAUUUGCUGUAAAAGGAAUCGACCCCUUUUGUGGCGUAGCAAACGCGUUAAAUACGCCGCCUGGGAAGUACGGUCGCAAGAUUA